GUUGAAUUGGCCAUGUCAGAGACCACUGACCACAUAAUUCAGAGGUUUCACUUCGGUGGACAAAAUUUAACGCAUACCGGGAAAUACUCAUAUCAAUACCGACAUUUUUGUGAUUAUGUUUUCAAGAUAGAUAACUCUUGUGUGAAUACUGAAACAGCUGUUUUCCCCUACAACAACACCAGCCCCGGCGGUGUACAUACUAUCAGGAAUACUACCCGUCGAAGCGCAAAUUGACGAAAGAGCACUUGGAUUAUUUAAUAACAUCUGUAACCAAGAUGAAAGCAGCACGGAAAAACAACUGGCACGCAGGCAAAUUGAGGUCAAAUCCUUGGAAAGCAACAGCUGGUUUAUAGAAAUCAAAAAGAUCCUAACAAAAUAUAACAUGGAUGAACUGAUGAAAUCAACAACUAUCUUGAUAUACCUAUGAAGAAAGAAAAAUGGAUCCCACUAAUAAACCGAACUAUCCAAAAACACUGGAAUGACUCAAUAAGAACAAUGGUUCCAUAUUACAAAGGCCUACAGCAUCUAAAUUACAUGGAAUUUUACCAAGGGAAGCUACACCCCCUGCUAAAAAUCAAAUGUCAAUCAGCUAGAGACAUAGGAAGAAUUCCUCCAAAACUUAAAAUGCUAACUGGCACAUACAUUCUGCAGUCACAUAGAAUCAAAAUGUACCAAAAUGAAAUAGAUCCGAUGUGUCUUAUCUGCCACCAAGGAGACGAAACACUUGAACAUUUCAUCCUAGAAUGUGAAGGCCUUUCCAACAUCAGAAAUCCAAUUGCGGAUGAAAUAAAUGCCAUUCUGAAGAGUUCAAUUAACACAGAAUUUCAUGAGCAAACAUCAAAAAUAAAGA
rnacentral:lncRNA from 1 species